rnacentral:lncRNA from 1 species
AUGUCGUCCUUUCGUACCACAUGGAGGACGUCAAUAAUUAGAUCUGACAGAUGGUGUUGUGGAAGAACUACUUAGAUCAUGCAAAAGAUGAGUAUAUGUAGCCAUAAGCGCAAAAACUUUGUCAUGGGGUUUCAUCCCAUUUAGUGUCUGGAAAUUGAUGGACAUAUGACUAUCAAUCAUAUGAUGUGAAACCUGCACACAGAAAAAUCAUCAAAUCUCUCAACCGGGUAUUAGCAUAUUCAAUAUUGGCUAAAGAGACACAUUUUGCUGACUCAGUACAUUCAAGGUACAAGUAUCAAGAAUUCUAUGUUGCUUACUCACAACAGACACGGACUGUGGGGCAUGUUACAACCCCUCUAGUCUGCAAGUUUGCUCAGUUUGGGAGACAAUUACUCCCAAAUCUCCACAUAAAAAAUUUCUCCUUGAAUUUUAAGCUCCUUUAUAUUGACCAAGUGUUCUGCACAAACUAUGUAAGCAUUUUUAACUGCAUUAGUUCCUCUACCAUCAAAUAUCCAUAUCCUCUCAUCAGGUUUAUUCAAUCUCAACAAAGUAAUCUUCAAAAUUGCACUCACAUCAGAACCUCCAAAAGUAUAUUUGCUUAUGUACCAAUCCAAGAUCUUGUACUCUUAUCUAUCAAGUUAUCAACUAUUUGUGAUAUAGUGAAAAAAGAUAAGGUGUUUGUACACAUGGGAUGUACAUACCACUAAGCCAAUGAUCGGUCCAAAUAUUAAUUGACGAACCAUCACCUAUUUUCCAGUGAUGUCCUUCUUCUAAAACCAUCCGUAAAGUCUAGACACUACACCAAAUAUAACUUGGAUUGUGGCCAAUAACCACACCAAGAAGUUCCAAUGUGAAAAAUAUUUUACUUCGAAGACUCUAGAAACUAUAGAUUUGGGUUGGUUAACAAUUUCCAAACUUGCUUCCCCAACAUUACUAGAUCAAGGCCAUAGAUAUCGUGGAAACCAUGUUACCUUAGCUCAAAUAUGUAAUUCAAAUAUGACACUUUUCCUAUUACCUUAUUAGCUCUUU